rnacentral:rRNA from 1 species
UCGAGAAUCUUCCACAAUGGACGAAAGUCUGAUGGAGCGACGCCGCGUGGUUGAUGAAGUGCUUCGGCACGUAAAGACCUUUUAUGAGGGAAGAAGUUUAUUGACGGUACCUCAUGAAUAAGGGGCUCCUAACUCUGUGCCAGCAGGAGCGGUAAUACAGAGGCCCCGAGCGUUAUCCGGAAUUAUUGGGCGUAAAGGGUGUGUAGGUGGCGUAGUUAGUCGGUUGUUAAAGACCCGGGCUUAACCUGGG